rnacentral:tRNA from 1 species
GGCCCCGUAGCUCAAAUGGAUAGAGCACCGGUUUCCUAAACCGGCUAUUCCGGUUCAAUUCCGGACGGGGCCUCCA